GCAUCAGAAUGAGUGGGGCCUAUGUACUUGAUUUGUGUGAAGUGUAACGUUAGAAGUUAAAGACUUGUAACCCAUAAGAUCCUCAAAGUCUUUCUCUCUCUCUCAGUAUUCCUCAAACGUCCUUCUCUAGGAAAAAUUUCUCUCUCCAUUUUUUCUCAAACCCUUUUUCUUUAUCUAUUCCAUGCAUCGGAUCCGUUCAUAGGCCUCUCAUUUUGCAAAGGUUGAAGAAGGUAUUUUGGUCUUGCGUUUUCUGUUUGAUGUGCGGUUUCCGAGCGUGUUAAAGUUUCCGAUGCUAAAAUAUUUUCUGGAUUUUGCAAGUCACACCUUGUAUCGUUUGAGGAGGGAUGUUGAAGUCUAGAUCGGUAUGAAUCGUAAGUUUGGCUGGACAUUGUUCUUUUUAUGGAAGAAGAACUGAUGGUGUUACUAGAGCGGAGAAAAAGUUGUAAAUGAGGAUAAAUCAUUGUAAAUGGUUGAUAUUCAACCGUUUCAAACAUGCGGCAGCCAGGAUUACUGAUCCUGAUUUGUUAUAAUAUCAAAAAGAAGUCCAAAAGCAGAAAGUGACCAGGCCUAUAGCUAAAAAGACUUCAUUUAGAAGUGUUCAAAGAGUUUAAAGGUAUACUAACUCAAUUUGAUGAAACACAUCUUAAUUAACCAAUUCUACUGAUUUUAUAAACCAAUACUGGUCCAUUGUGUCUUCCCCAUUAUCAUGUUGUUGAGCAAUUAAACCGAAUCCGUUGUUAGCCCAAGUAUUCCCCCAGGAAUUUAGUAUACGCCAAUAUUUUAUCGAUGCUCCAUUUAUUCUUUUCCGUCCAUAACCAACAAUUAGUAUUGUAUGUCCUCCUUCUCCCUUCGGUUUGUAUACUCCUCCCUUCAAAACAAUAGCUUAUGAGUUUUAAUUAAAUAAACAUUCGAGCUAUCAAGAAAGUACAAUUUGAGUUUUAGUUAAAUAAUCAUUCUAACAAUCAAGAAAAUACCAUGUGAGUUUUAGUUAAAUAAACAUUCAAGCAGAGUAUGAAAGUGCCUUAAAUAAGCAUAGAUAAGCAUGUGAGUUUUAGUUAAAUAAACAUUCAAGACAGAGUAUGAAAGUACCUUGGAUAAGUAUUCGAUGUCCGUGAGCCCGUAAAAGGCUGCGAUGACUGGACCUUUAGUGUCCAGUAGUUGUUCCACAUUGUUAAUGCCGUAUACUUCGUAAAAAUUUCUUAUUUUUGCAAUAGUAUCUUUGUAAAUUGUUGCUUUUGACCCUCUCCGAAAUUUUUGAUAAUGUUUUCCUUUGGGAGGUCUUUCUCCAUAUUCAAUCACACCCUUGGUUUUCAUAACAUCCAAGCAACUUUCAAGGGUAACACCAUAUGUUUUAUCAAUCUCAGUUUUAAAGAGAUGAUUUACCAAGUCUUUUUUGGAAGUUGUAAUCACGGUGCCAGUUUGAAUUCUGAACAUUGUCUCGAAAGCUGCACAGCAUGCAUAAAUUGUGCAAGAACCUUCAUUCCCUUGAUGAUAGGGAGUGGGUAGAUAAUCUGUCCACUUAUCAACCAAAUAACGAUGCAUAAUUUGUUCAACCGUUUUAGUUUGGCUUGAGGAUUUUGGUCUUCUAGAAGCAAAUAACUUUGAGGUAUAUUUUGGCCGCCUCAGCACAGCACCUGAGAUAGCAUCUUUUGUAAAAAAAUCCAAAAUACAAAUGUUUAAUAUGAUUUUGAUAUGACACCAUAUUAAUGUAAAUAGAAGCCAACAUCUAGCAUUAAUAACUACUAUUUUCAUUCAA